rnacentral:rRNA from 1 species
AGUGAACGCUGGCGGUAGGCCUAACACAUGCAAGUCGAACGGCAGCACAGUAAGAGCUUGCUCUUACGGGUGGCGAGUGGCGGAAGGGUGAGGAAUACAUCGGAAUCUACUUUUUCGUGGGGGAUAACGUAGGGAAACUUACGCUAAUACCGCAUACGACCUACGGGUGAAAGCAGGGGAUCUUCGGACCUUGCGCGAUUGAAUGAGCCGAUGUCGGAUUAGCUAGUUGGCGGGGUAAUGGCCCACCAAGGCGGCGAUCCGUAGCUGGUGUGAGAGGAGGAUCAGCCACACUGGAACUGGGACACGGUCCAGAGUCCUGCGGGAGGCAGCAGUGGGGAAUAUUGGACAGUGGGGGGAAACCUGACCCAGCCAUACCGCGUGUGUGAAGAAGGCGUUCGGGUUGUAAAGCCCUUUUGUUGGGAGAGAAAAGCAGCAGGUUAAUACGCAGCUGUUCUGACGGUACCCAAAGAAUAAGCACCGGCUAACUUCGUG